rnacentral:miRNA from 1 species
UUUGGACCAUGGAUGAAGAUU